rfam:Scleropages formosus scaffold1487, whole genome shotgun sequence.
GGCGCUGUGGCUUAGUGAGUUAAAGUUCCUGUCUAGUAAACAGGAGAUCCUGGGUUCGAAUCCUAGCGGUGCCU